GUCUCUGCUUUUUAAUAUGCUGUCUAUAUUGGUCAUAACUUUCUUUCCAAGUUGUAUACAGUAGGUAUGUAGUAUUUUACCUGAUGAGUUCAUAUUUAAGGGUCUGCUUUUCUUUUCUUUCUUUCUUACCCUGCUUGGUCUUCAUUGCUGCAUGUGGGCUUUCUCUAGUUGUGGUGUCUGGGCUCCUCACUGCAGUAGCAUCUUUUGUUGUUCAGGGGGCUCAAUAGCUGUGACCCUCUGGCUCAGUGGCCCAGAGGCCUGUGGGAUCUUCCCGAUCUAGGGAUCAAACUUGUGUUACCUGCACUGGCAGGACGACUCUUAACCACUGGACCACCAGGGACGUCCUCUGUCUUUCUUAAGAAGAAGCACAGUUCUGUGAGUUACCACACAGGCUUACAUCAAGCCUUGACCCCUGGAGGACAUAAGGCUUUCUUGCUCCAGUCGGCUCUGGUGUGGGCCAUUGUCUCAUCUGUACUUGCUCCACCUUGUAACAGAAUCAAGAAUCCCAUUGCAGGAGGGACCCCAGAAGACUGCAGAGGUGAUCCCAGGCCAGGAAAUAGUUCUGUCACAAACCAAAGGUGCCAGAAGGUUGCAGGUCCCAUCCCGCCUUCCGUAGCUCAUCACUUAGGCGUAUUGGGAUCUGUCCAACCAGGAGGCCUCUGAGGCAGGUGGGCGGGGCGGCGCGCCUGAAGCGCCAAGACUUCCUUUAUCCUUACCUGCGCUCCCAGGUGGUGUGUUCCCUACCCUUCUGUGUUCACGGUAGCCCUUCGGUGUCCGUUGCACUGACCAGCACUGGUCGUUGGAGACGAAGGAAGGACGCAGAAAGGUCCAGAACACGUCACAAUGGAUUCAGUGACCUCUGAGGAUGUGAGUGUGAAGUUCAGCACGGAGGAGUGGGGUCUGUUGAACCUAGCCCAGAAGAAACUCUACAGAGAUGUGAUGCAGGAAACCUUCAAAAACUUGACCUCAGUAGGAGAAAGACAGGAAGACCUUGAUAUUGGAAAUCAGUAUGAAAAUCAUAGGACAAAUCUGAGGACUUGGUGGCUAAUGAAGAUGUGACUAUGAAUUUCAGCCCAGAGGGGUGGGCUUUACUGAAUCCUUCACAGAAGAAGCUCUACAAAGAUGUGAUGCGAGAAACCUUCAGAAACCUGGCCUCAGUAGGGGGGAAAGGGAGCAAUCAUGACAUUGAAGAUCAGUACAAAAACCAGGGGAGAAAACUAAGGUAAGUCACACCCAUAACAGAAAGUAGUGCCUCAUGUGUGGCUCCUCGUUUGUGGUAAAAUUUUAAAAGAAGGGGCCCAAACACAUAAUGCCUACUUCUCAUUUAUUUAUUCUCUGAAAAAAUUUUCUCCAAAUCCUUUAUAACAUGGGACAUAGAUGUCCAGCAUUUGGAAAAUAGUUCUCUUGAAAAUAGUAUUUAACAAGCCCUAUAUGUGAAUGUCACUUUUGAUAAUUCCAAGAGUGAAAUCUUGAAGGGCAUUCCUUUUUCAAUUGAAAACCAUUCAGACAAGGGAAAUAACCUACGCUUUUGCUAUAAAUCACAACAGUGUAGCUCAAGUACCCUGCUAAUAAAUAUUUAAUUGUUAGUAAAGAAAUCAUUAUUCAUGUGAUCCCCAUUUUUUACAGGAGUCAUGUGAUUCUAUGCAGGUAAAGAGGGUAGUCAGUGUGCAGGAAACUACAGCCUUAUUCCAAAACUCAGUGUAAACAAGAAAACUACUAGAGUGAAACCAUAUGAAUGCAGUGCAUGUGGAAAAGUCUUUAUGCAUCAUCUAUCCCUUAAUAGGCAUAUUAGGCAUCAUAAUGGACAUAAACUAGAUGAGUACCAGAAAUAUGAAAAGAAGCCAUAUAAAUGUAAGGAAUGUAGUAAAGCCUUCAGUUAUCUUCAGUGUUUUGAAAAACACAAAUGAAAGCACAAUGGACAGGAAAACUAUAAAUGUAAGAAGUAUGGGAAAGCAUUUCGUUUUCACACUUCUUUUCAAACCCAUAAAAGACUUCAUACAGGAGAAAAGCCCUAUGAAUGUAAACAAUGUGGGAGAUCCUUUAUGUGGCUCACAACCCUUCAACGACACAUAACCCAUGCAGGAGAUACUCCUUAUAAAUGUAAAGAAUGUGGGAAACUCUUUAAGUGACUUACAACCUUUUGAAGACACAUGAUAAUGCACACUGGAGAUGCUCCUUAUAAAUUUAAGGAAAUGGGAAAAUCUUUAGUUUUUUAAGAUUUGCACUACAAAUACAUGAAAAAACCCACAUGGGAGAGAAACCCUAUCCAUGUAAACAAUGUGGAAAAACCUUUAGAUAUCAUCAAACUUCAAAUACAUGAAAGGACUCACAGGAGAGAAACCCUAUGAAUGUAAGCAAUGUGGUAAAGCUUUUGUUUCUCCUGUAGGAUUGAAAAACCAUGAAAGAAAUCACAAUGGAGAGAAAUUCUAUAAAUGUAAAACAUGUAGUAAAGCAUUCAGUUAUUCCGGUUCUCUUUGAAAACGUGAAAGAAAUCAACUGGAGAGAAACCCUACGAAUAUAAAGAGUGUGGAAAAGGCUUUAUUUUUCUCUCAAUCCUUAGAACAGACAUAAGUCACUCUGGAGAUGGACCUUAUAAAUGUAAAGAAUGUGAGAAAGCAUUCGUUACUCCCAGUUCAUUUCAAAUACAUGUAAGGACUCACACAGGAGAGAAGCCUUAUAAAUGUAAACAAUGUGGGAAAACUUUCAGUUGGCCUACUUCCAUUCACAGACAUGAAAAAAAUCAGUGGAGAGAAACCCUGUAAGUGUAAGCAAUGUGGUAAAGCCUUCAAUUGUUCCAGAUCCUUUCAAAGCCAUGAAAGGAGACACAGUGGAGAAAAGCCCUAUGGAUGUAAAAAAUGUGGUAAAGCCUUCAGGAGUCCAAAUUCCUGUCAAAAACAUGAAAGAAUUCAUAGUGGAGAGAAACCUUAUGAAUAUAAGGAACGUAGAAAAGCCUUGAGUUCUCUCACCAAAUUUCAAAGACAUGUAAUGAAGCACAUUGGAGACAGACCUUAUAAAUGUAAGGAGUGUGGGAAAGUCUUUGAUUGUUCCAGUUACUUUCAAAGUCAUAAAAGGAUUCACAGUGUAGAAAAACCCUUUGAAUGUAAGGAAUGUUAUAAAACCUUCAGUACUCCUAGGUCCCUUUGAAAACAUGAAAGAACUCAUACUGGGAAAAAACCUCAUAUAUGUAAGGAAUAUGGUAAAGCCUUUAGGUAUCCCAGCUUCCUUUAAAAACAUGAAAGGAGUCAUACUGGGGAGAAAUCCUAUCACUGUAAACAAUGUGGUAAAGCCAUCACUUAUUUCAGUUCCCUUUGAAGUCAUGAAAGAACUCAUAGUGGAAAGAAACCCUAUGAAUGAAAGGAAUGUGGGAAAGCCUUCAUUUUUCCCUCAAAAUUUCAUUUACACAUGAUAAAGCCACUAGAGUCAGACCUUAUUUGUGUAAGAAAUGUGGGAAAACCUUCAGUUGUUCCAGUUCAUUACAAAACCAUGAAAGAACACACACUGGAAAGAAACCGUAUGGAUGUAGGAAUUGUAGUAAAGCCUUCACUUGAGUUCAUUCUUUACAAAACCAUGAAAGAACUCAUAUUGGAGAGUAACCCUAUGAAUGUGAGAAAGUGGGAAAGCCUUUAGUUCUAUCACCAAAUUUUCAAGACAUGUGGUGAAGCACAAUGGAUAAUGUAAGAAAUGUAGGAAAGCCCUCAAUUUUUUUCAGUUCAUUAUGAAAUCAGAACUCACACUGGUAAGAAACCACAUGAAUGUAAAAAUUAUAGGAAAGCCUUCGAUGGUCCUAGUUCUGUUCAAAACCAUGAAAACACUCAUAAUGGAAAGUAGGCCUAUGAAUGUAAGAAAUGUAGGAGAACUUUGUUGUCUCAGUUCAUUCUGAAUACAGAAAGGAAUUCACACUAGAGAAUUCCUUGAAUGCAAAAGAAAUAUGGUAAAGCCUUCAGCAAUUCCCAUUAUGUUCAAAUGCAUGAAAGAACUCAUAACAGAAACUGAAUGUAAGGAAUGUUGGAAUGCCUUUGUCACAUGACAUUUUAAGGAUGCAAGAUGAUGCACAUCAUGUAAAUGUGAGAAAUUGGGGGAUUUUCUCUCAUAUUUUUGGGAAAGAACUCACUCUAGAGAGAAUUCUAUUAAAUGUAAACAAUAUAUGAAAACCUUCAUUUGCCUUACAUUCUUAAAACCACGUAAGAAUGUACACUGGAUAGAUACCAUAUAACUGAAAUGAAAAGUAAAACUAUUCAUUUGAAACAAAUAUCUUUAUAGUAAUAUGAAAACUGCACUGGAAAAAAUUUAUGUUAAUGUAAGUAAUAUGGGUAAGCCUCUGCAAAUCCAUGUAGAAAGCUCUCAAAGUUACAAUAUGGAGGAAAUGUUAUAAACUUUAAACAUAUACUUUCCCUACCAGUGGCAUACUCUUAAAGUUAUUCUCUGAAGUAUGGAGUUCUACUUAUUUUUGUAAGUAAAUAUUGAGGUAAGAUAAUUGUGUUGAUACUCUUUAGGCUGUCGUUCCUAAGUUUAAUAAGUAAUUUAAGCUUUUAUCAGUUAUAUUUUUUUAUUUUUACUGUUAAGACUCUUUGGUCCAUGGGUGAUUUGCAGUGUAUUUCUAAUAUGCAAGUAGGUUUCAUUUUUAAAUAAUUUUGUAAUUUUUGUGUAAAUAAGGGAAUACUAAAAAGUGACAUUUUGGUACUUGUUUGUUUCUUGUGGCAAGUACUCAAUACUCAACAUCCCUUUUACAUUAUAUUCAAACUUUUCAUUGGCUUAAGAGCUUUAUUCCAUUUGCUUCCUAACAGAAAUGUAAUAAAGAGUUGGGCCUGUAUUUGUAAGUAUACAGAGUUCUUCAUGUAGUCUCAUGUGAAUUAUUCAUCUUUUGUCCUUUGUUAUUUGUCAUUCCUUCUGGCUUGGAUUUGGGUUCUGGAAUAUUGAGAGACCUGUGUGAUGACAAUAAAAUCUAGA